AUUGAACGCUGGCGGCAGGCCUAACACAUGCAAGUCGAGCGGAUGAAGGGAGCUUGCUCCUGUAUUCAGCUGCGGACGGGUGGGUAAGUCCUAGGAAUCUGCCUUAUAUUUGGGGAUAAGGUCAGGAAAGGGGCGCGAAUACCACAUACGUCCUUAUGUUGAAAGGGGUGGAUCUUCGGAGCUCACGCUAUCAGAUGACCCUAGUUCGUAUUAGCUAGUUGGUUGGGUAAAGGCCUACCAAGGCGACGAUCCGUAACUGGUCUGAGAGGAUGAUCAGUCACACUGGAACUGAGACACGGUCCAGACUCCUACGGGAGGCAGCAGUGGGGAAUAUUGCACAAUGGGCGAAAGCCUGAUGCAGCCACGCCGCGUGUGUGAAGAAGGUCUUCGGAUUGUAAAGCACUUUAAGUUGGGAGGAAGGGAAGUAAGUUAAUCUCUUGCUGUCUUGACGUUACCAACAGAAUAAGCACCGGCUAACUUCGUG
rnacentral:rRNA from 1 species